AAAUUGAAGAGUUUGAUCAUGGCUCAGAUUGAACGCUGGCGGCAGGCCUAACACAUGCAAGUCGAGCGGAAACGAGUUAUCUGAACCUUCGGGGAACGAUAACGGCGUCGAGCGGCGGACGGGUGAGUAAUGCCUAGGAAAUUGCCCUGAUGUGGGGGAUAACCAUUGGAAACGAUGGCUAAUACCGCAUGAUGCCUACGGGCCAAAGAGGGGGACCUUCGGGCCUCUCGCGUCAGGAUAUGCCUAGGUGGGAUUAGCUAGUUGGUGAGGUAAGGGCUCACCAAGGCGACGAUCCCUAGCUGGUCUGAGAGGAUGAUCAGCCACACUGGAACUGAGACACGGUCCAGACUCCUACGGGAGGCAGCAGUGGGGAAUAUUGCACAAUGGGCGCAAGCCUGAUGCAGCCAUGCCGCGUGUGUGAAGAAGGCCUUCGGGUUGUAAAGCACUUUCAGUCGUGAGGAAGGUAGUGUAGUUAAUAGCUGCAUUAUUUGACGUUAGCGACAGAAGAAGCACCGGCUAACUCCGUGCCAGCAGCCGCGGUAAUACGGAGGGUGCGAGCGUUAAUCGGAAUUACUGGGCGUAAAGCGCAUGCAGGUGGUUUGUUAAGUCAGAUGUGAAAGCCCGGGGCUCAACCUCGGAAUUGCAUUUGAAACUGGCAGACUAGAGUACUGUAGAGGGGGGUAGAAUUUCAGGUGUAGCGGUGAAAUGCGUAGAGAUCUGAAGGAAUACCGGUGGCGAAGGCGGCCCCCUGGACAGAUACUGACACUCAGAUGCGAAAGCGUGGGGAGCAAACAGGAUUAGAUACCCUGGUAGUCCACGCCGUAAACGAUGUCUACUUGGAGGUUGUGGCCUUGAGCCGUGGCUUUCGGAGCUAACGCGUUAAGUAGACCGCCUGGGGAGUACGGUCGCAAGAUUAAAACUCAAAUGAAUUGACGGGGGCCCGCACAAGCGGUGGAGCAUGUGGUUUAAUUCGAUGCAACGCGAAGAACCUUACCUACUCUUGACAUCCAGAGAACUUUCCAGAGAUGGAUUGGUGCCUUCGGGAACUCUGAGACAGGUGCUGCAUGGCUGUCGUCAGCUCGUGUUGUGAAAUGUUGGGUUAAGUCCCGCAACGAGCGCAACCCUUAUCCUUGUUUGCCAGCGAGUAAUGUCGGGAACUCCAGGGAGACUGCCGGUGAUAAACCGGAGGAAGGUGGGGACGACGUCAAGUCAUCAUGGCCCUUACGAGUAGGGCUACACACGUGCUACAAUGGCGCAUACAGAGGGCAGCCAACUUGCGAAAGUGAGCGAAUCCCAAAAAGUGCGUCGUAGUCCGGAUUGGAGUCUGCAACUCGACUCCAUGAAGUCGGAAUCGCUAGUAAUCGUGGAUCAGAAUGCCACGGUGAAUACGUUCCCGGGCCUUGUACACACCGCCCGUCACACCAUGGGAGUGGGCUGCAAAAGAAGUAGGUAGUUUAACCUUCGGGGGGACGCUUACCACUUUGUGGUUCAUGACUGGGGUGAAGUCGUAACAAGGUAGCGCUAGGGGAACCUGGCGCUGGAUCACCUCCUUAUACGAUGAU
rnacentral:rRNA from 1 species